UACAGGGGGGGCAAGCGUUAUCCGGAAUUACUGGGCGUAAAGGGCUCGUAGGUGGCCAACUAAGUCGGACGUGAAAUCCCUCAGCUUAACUGGGGAACUGCGUCCGAUACUGGAUGGCUUGAGUUUGGGAGAGGGAUGCGGAAUUCCAGGUGUAGCGGUGAAAUGCGUAGAUAUCUGGAGGAACACCGGUGGCGAAGGCGGCAUCCUGGACCAACACUGACACUGAGGAGCGAAAGCCAGGGGAGCAAACGGG
rnacentral:rRNA from 1 species